rnacentral:rRNA from 1 species
UACGUAGGGUGCGAGCGUUGUCCGGAAUUACUGGGCGUAAAGAGCUCGUAGGUGGUUUGUCGCGUUGUUCGUGAAAACCGGGGGCUUAACCCUCGGCGUGCGGGCGAUACGGGCAGACUGGAGUACUGCAGGGGAGACUGGAAUUCCUGGUGUAGCGGUGAAAUGCGCAGAUAUCAGGAGGAACACCGAUGGCGAAGGCGGGUCUCUGGGCAGUAACUGACGCUGAGGAGCGAAAGCGUGGGGAGCGAACAGG